rnacentral:rRNA from 1 species
GUCCUAGCUGUAAACGGUGCAUAUUUGCUGUAAAAGGAAUCGACCCCUUUUGUGGCGUAGCUAACGCGAUAAAUAUGCCGCCUGGGAAGUACGGUCGCAAGAUUAAAACUCAAAGAAAUUGACGGGGGGCCUGCACAAGCGGUGGAGUAUGUGGCUUAAUUCGAUGCAACGCGAAGAACCUUACCUGGCCUUUACAUGCAUCUAGUAGAAGGGUGAAAGCCUGACGAGGUAGCAAUACCAGGAUGCACAGGUGCUGCAUGGCUGUCGU